GGACCUGUUGGUUAGAUUGGCCUAUACUUGGCGCUUAGGGGGUGUCAGACUCCAGUUCAAAUCUAGACGGGCCCA
rnacentral:tRNA from 1 species